AGAUAUAUUUUUUUAAAUUUGGGGAAUCUGUAUUUGUGAAGACAUAAUUAUGACCCAUUGCAACUCUCACCAAUUUCUUAGGUUAUUAAAUGCAAAGCAGCUGUGUUAUGGGAGCCAAAUAAACUGUUUUCCAUUGAGGAAAUAGAAGUUGCCCUAUCAAAGGCUAAAGAAGUUCGGAUUAAGGUUGAUGCCCUCGCAUCCUGCCAUAUGAACUAUGGGACCAGUGUGGUGGUAGGUGCUCCUCCAUCAGCCAAGAUGCUCACCUACGACCCUAUGCUGCUCUUCACUGGACGCACAUGGAAAGGAUGCAUUUUUGGAGCAUCCUGAUGUUCUGAGAUUCUAAGAGACUGGAGGUCUGCGCUGAGUGAUGGUGACCUGGAGCUUCCCUUUCACACUUCCUUCUGCUGAGGUCUUGGGUCUGCUUCAUACGGACAAGCAGAAGUCGAGGACUUGUGAAGAUACAUAAUCCUUAUGAAAGAAGUAUUUAGAGUCUUAUGAGUGCCUGGAAAUUAGCAGGAGGUUUGGGUCAACAAUAUUAACAUUUUAGAUUUACAUUUUCCUAGACUGUAAUUACAUAUUUUGAAAAAAUAUACUUUCAUUUUUAAGGUGGAGUAGAGGUUUUUAAAAAAAGAAUUUAAGCCAGCUGCCACCACUUAGAGCAGAUUUGGCAUGUAAAGAUGAAGAUGACAUAUGUAUUUCCUAAAGUUAUACUCCUUUUACUGAAUACUAUAAA